AUGAGCAUCAAUUCCAUCUUUUUUGGAGGAAUUAAACAAAGGUGUGAACAACUGAAGAGAAGGAGCGUGGAGUCCUCUCCCAAGGAGAGCCUGAGUAGCCAGGUGGGUAGCUUACAGGCAAGCACAGUUCCAAGAAACAACAACAACAACAACAACAACAGAACCAAAAAAGAUCUAAGCUUGCCCACAGCAACAAGGUAAAAAAGAGACAUUCGUGAUUGGCCUUAUGUGGUGAUGUCAUGAAGAUGAAGCUGAUUUCCCAGUUUCUCUGCAUUCUGAACCUGGUGGGGGGCUGUCAGGCUGGAGUUGUUCAGUUAAAGCCUUCAGAUUUCUGUCACCUCUACUCAAGACACCCAGGAAUUGGCAGAACAGGCUUCAGGCACAUAUUGAAAUAAAGCUGAUGAAGUAAAAUGGAUAAUAAAUGAA
rnacentral:lncRNA from 1 species